rnacentral:rRNA from 1 species
GAUGAACGCUGGCGGCGUGCCUAAUACAUGCAAGUCGAGCGAACAGACGAGGAGCCUGCUCCUCUGACGUUAGCGGCGGACGGGUGAGUAACACGUGGAUAACCUACCUAUAAGACUGGGAUAACUUCGGGAAACCGGAGCUAAUACCGGAUAAUAUAUUGAACCGCAUGGUUCAAUAGUGAAAGACGGUUUUGCUGUCACUUAUAGAUGGAUCCGCGCCGCAUUAGCUAGUUGGUAAGGUAACGGCUUACCAAGGCAACGAUGCGUAGCCGACCUGAGAGGGUGAUCGGCCACACUGGAACUGAGACACGGUCCAGACUCCUACGGGAGGCAGCAGUAGGGAAUCUUCCGCAAUGGGCGAAAGCCUGACGGAGCAACGCCGCGUGAGUGAUGAAGGUCUUCGGAUCGUAAAACUCUGUUAUUAGUGAAGAACAAAUGUGUAAGUAACUAUGCACGUCUUGACGGUACCUAAUCAGAAAGCCACGGCUAACUACGUG